CAGCUGAGAGACAAGCGAUACCAAGCUCCUGGAGCACUGAUGAGGGCGACAGAGAGGAGGAGAAGAAGAGAGGGAGGAAAAUAGAAGGAGAUGAGUAAAGAAGAAAGUGAGUGAGAAAGUGAAUAAAGAGUUGGAAAUGCAGAGCAUGGAAAGUAGGAGAGUAAGAGAAAGAUGAGGAGAAAGAAGAAGAAGAACGUAGUAGAAAAAGAGGCAGGAAGUAUGAAGAUAUAGCACGGGAAGAUAAAUGCUAUAGAAACAAAAAAGAGUGUUCAGGAAGCAGAGGAGGGAGUUUUGAGUGAUAGCGAACAUACUGUAGAUGAAAGCUGUCGAAGGAGUGAGACGCUGAGAAGCGUCAGCAUUGUCAGAGCAUGUUCAGCCCUCAGGGACAGCCGGGGGCCGGCCGUCAGCCUUUAUUUGGAGAGCAGAAGCUUUUCCACACUACCUGAAAUCAGCUGAGAGGUUAAGUCGUGGUGUGUGCAAGCUGUCAGCAUCAGAUCAUCGUCCUCAAAGUGUGGGGGCAAGAAGGAAAGAUGUCGGGUGCCCCCCGGUGGAGACAGUGUGUACUGUGUGCAAAGUGCUCCCCCCCCUCUCCUUUCAGUGUGUGUUAGUUAAUCACCAUCUGCUGCUGCAGUUAGUUGUAUAGCAAAAGUGGAGAGGAAAGUUUCCUCAGAGUUUUACAGGACCCACUUUGCUGCCUCUCGAGACAUGUCAAGCUUUCACCACCUCUGGAAAUAUUAUUUUCUGUCUGUCAAAUUGUAUUUUAUUUGGCAUUUUUCAUAGUUUUAAAUAAAGAAACAGGGUGGGAGGUUCUAAUAACAAAAUGUCUGCGUAAAAUAGGUUCAUUGCUAAGUUGUCUGUUGUAUGACACAACAAUGGUUUUUCACUUGUACCUUUUUAGACAAGUGUCUUAAAAACAUUCAAAAAAUUCAGAAAUCCAAAAAUUCUGAAAAUGAUCCAGUGCAAUGUCUGAAGAAAAGCUUUGAGAGACUUUCAGAAAGCCUGGAGAACAAAGAAAGAAAAAAGAAAAAAAGAAAUAAAACUAAAAAGCAAAAAAGAAAGUCUAGCAAAUUGAAAGCAAAAUAUCAGGAAAUGAGGGGUGGCUUGAGACUUUUUGUAUAUAUUUCGGUAUCUCUUUUUUCUUCUCUGAAAUGCUUGUAGGGUUGCUUCAUGUUAGACUGUCAGUUUAUUCUGAAUGUCCUGGUGUAAGUAGUAAUGCAUAAGAGUGCAAAGAAUAAAAGAAUAAUUUUGAACAAA